UUUUUUUUUUUUUAACUUUUCAUUUUGUGUUGGAGUAUAGCUGAUUAACAAUGUUGUGUUAGUUUCAGGUGUACAGCCCAGUGAUUCAGUUAUACAUAUAAAUGUAUCUAUUCUUUUUCAAAUUCUUUUCCCAUUUAGGUUGUUACAGAAUAUUGAACAGAGUUCCCUGUGCUGUACUGUAGGUCCUUGUUGGUUAUCCAUUUAAAAUAUAGCAGUGUGUACCUGUCAAUCCCCAACUCCUUAACUAUCCCUCCCACCCACACACACGCUUCGUAACCAUAAGUUCAUUCUCUGAGUCUUUUUCUGUUUUGUAAAUAAGUUCAUUUGUAUCAUUUUUUUUAGAUUCCGCAUAAAAGCAAUAUCAUAUGAUAUUUGUCUUUGUUUGACUUACUUCACUCAGUAUGGCAGUCGCUAGGUCCAUCCAUGUUGCUGCAAAUGACAUUAUUUUAUUCUUUUUAUGGCUGAAUAAUAUUCCAUUGUGUAUAUAUAUAUAUACCACAUCUUCUUUAUCCAUUCCUCUGUCAACAGACAUUUAGUUUGCUUCCAUGUCUUGUCUAUUGUAAACAGUGCUGCAGUGAACAUUAGGGUACAUGUAUCCUUUCAGGCCAUGUUUUUCUCCAGACAUAUGCCCAGGAGUGGGAUUGCUGGGUCAUAUGGUAGUUCCAUGUUUAGUUUUGUAAGGAACCUCCAUACUGUUCUCCAUACUGUUCUCUGUACCAAUUUACAUUCCCACCAACAGUGUAGGAGGGGUGCCUUCCCUCCAUACCUCUCCAGCAUGGAAGACAUUUUCAUGUACUGUCUAAAAGGUACUUUAGGGGAUUGUUUAUAGUUUAUACUUUUCUUUUACGGUUUUCUAUGCUUGUUUUACUAGACUUCUAAGAAAAACUUGGGUAAUUUUAGGAAAUUUUAGGAAAUAAACAUUUGUGUCUCAUUUACUUAAUUUUUUAUUUUGAGAUAAUUAUAGAUUCAUAUGUUGUUCUAAGAUACUGUAUAAGGGAGAUCCUCUGCCCCUUUUACCAGGUUUCCCUCAAUUGUAGCAUCUUGACAACUAUAGAACAAUAUCAUAUCCAGGAUAUUGACAUUGAUACAGUCAAGAUACAGAACAUUUUCAUCACAAGGAUCCCUCUUGUUACCCUUUUAUAGCCACACCCAUUUUCCUCCUGCUGACCUCAAUACUACCCCUGGCAACCACUAAUUUGUUCAUUUCCAUAAUUUUACUUCAAGAACUAUAGAAAUGGAAUAACACACUAUGUAACUUUCGGGAUUGCCUUUUUUCACUCAGCAUAAUUCUCUGGAUAUUCAUCUAGAUAUCACCAAUUCAUUUCUUUUUAGAAAUGAGUAGAUGGUUUGCUAGAGAAUGGUGGUAGUAGAAAUGCCUCUUGAUUUUAAGGACCUUUGAAGACUUUAAAUGUUUCAUUUAUUUUCAGUUUGGAUAUAUUCUGUUUUCAUCUUGUUCUUUUCCAAGACCUAGAGCCAGCCUUCUCUCCAAGAAGCCCUGGUUUCUUUUAGGGGAGAAUGAUAUUUAGAAACCGAGAUCUGGGCUCUAUUGUGACAGGUGGCCAUUGCUUCAAAAUAGCUAGAAAAAACAAUGGUCAGAGCUAGGAAAUGAAAAUAAUUAUGAGUUCACAUUAAUAUUUCAAAGUCAAAUUUAACAGCAGAUGGUUUUUAACUUUUUAGCUUCUUUCACUUUAUAUUUCUGUCCUUUUUCUCUUACAUUGAAAAUAAUUGUUCCUUAAUAAUAAGUUAUUUGCUUUAUCCUACAAUAUACAUAAAGCAUUUUAAAAUUACAGUACCAAUAUUAUUAAGAAUAAAACUACUGAAUAAAGUUCAAGAUUUUUUGUAGGUGUUUUUUUAAGGUUAGAGUCCUUUCAGUGUAUACUACCAAGGAUGUACAGAGAGAGUACUGAGUUGAAAAUUUUCUUCAAACAAAUCAGUGUGUAGGUAUUUUACCAAUUUGAUAUAAAUAUUGGUUUAUUUAAUUCCAUUUCUUUACAUAUUUGUUUUGAUUUAAUUCUGUAUAUAUAUCUAUAUGUAUACAUAUAUACACAAGUACAUAGAUGUAUAUUUGUAUAUAUGUAUGUAUAGAUAUAUACACACGUAUAUAUCAGUACAUUAAGUUCAAAAGUCAAAAUUAAAUAAAAAGCUGUCUUUAGAGAUGGCUCACUUCCAUUUCUAACCCCUUCACCCAUUCCCAGUGUCUCCUCCAUUUUUAUUAAUUUUUGUCAUACAAAUAAGGAAGUACAUAUUUUCUUAUACGAAAGGUAGUAUUGUAUUCUCUCUGUUCUCCAUCUUUUUAAAAAUUUCACAGUAUAUCCUGCAGAUUACUCCAUAAUAGUACAUAAAGAUAUUCCUUACUCCUUUUUAUGGCAGCAUAAGUACUGGAUAAUUUUGCAUGUGUAAUUUUAUUAGAUAUUGUAGGCUUCCCCUUUAUGGGGAUUUUAUUUUAUUAAUCAACAGUGUUUGCCAUUUUCAGUUACUUCUCAACCUUGCCAGGAGAGAAGGUUGUUGCCAGGUAGGUUAGAAGUAGUGUUUCAGUGUAGUUUCACUUUACAUUUCUCUUGUGAGUAUAAUUGAGCAUUUUAAAAAUAUUUAAGAGCUUUCUUUUCUGUAAACUGUUGGUUCAUCUGUGUUGCCUGUUUGUCUAUCAGAUUUUUGAUACUUACUGCUUCUAUUUUUGAAGAAAAAGAAAGAUUCUCUCUUUGGGAGAUGAAUUGUGACUGUUGUAUUCUGGUUUUCCAUUUGUUUUAGGAUUUUUUUUUGGAUGUAUAAGGUUUUUUUUUAAGGUUUAUUAUUUAUUUAUUUAAUUUAUUUCGGCUGCGUCAGGUCUUAGUUGCGGCAUGUGGGAUCUUUCGUUGCAGUGCGCGGCGUUGCGGUGCAUGGGCUUUUCUCUAGUUGUGGCAUGCGGGAUUUCUCUUCUCUAGUUGUGGCACGUAGGCUCUAGGGCACGUGGGUUCUGUAGUUGUGGUGCGUGGGUUCCAGAGCACGUGGGCUCUGUAGUUUGCGGCACGCAGCCUCUCUGGUUGAGGCCCGCAAGCUCAGUAGUUGUGGCAUACGGACUUAGUUGCCCCACGGCACGUGGGAUCUUAGUUCCCUGACCAGGGAUCAAACCCGUGUCCCCUGCAUUGCAAGGCAGAUUCUUUACCACUGGACCACCAGGGAAGUCCCAUGUGUAAGUUUUGAAAAAUACCUCUUUUAAAGUUGUAAUUUCAUGUGCUCUAGAUCUUUAUGCAUAUGUUCCACAUAGAUGGGAUAGAGAAGUUACAAAUUUCUUUUCAUGUCUGCAUUCUCUAGCUGCUCACCUUUUGGGGGUAUAUUUCAAACCACCUUGUCAAUAACAGUGCAUUAUUCCAGCUCCUUUGCUGAUUAAUCUUCUCACCGUAUACCAGAAAACCACAGAAAGCCUCUACUGGCUUUUUUCUAUCAUAAACUUGUCAUUUGUGAAACAGUUGCCUAGUGAUGUUAAUUCUUUUUGUGGAACGACAUUCAUGCCCUUUUUCCCUCUGUAUUUGUUAUACAUUUCCAUAGUCUUGUUCUUUGCAUCUCUUGCUUAAAACAGGGGUUUACAAUACCUUUCUGCAAAGGGCCAGAAGUAAGUAUUUUAGGCUUUGCAGACUAUAUAGUCUCAGUCACAAUUACUCAAAUCUGUUUUUGUUGUGUAAAGGCAACCUUAGACAAUAUGUAAAUGAAUGUCAUGGCUGUGUUCUAGCAAAUUUUUAUUUGCAACAACAGGUGAUGGUGGAGGGAGAGGGAGAAGAGUGGGCAGAUUUGGCCCAUGGAUUAUAUUCUGCUGACCCCUGCUCUAGGCCAUUAUAGUUAAACUCCCCCUCAUCGUGUUUAACUGCUCACUUCCUUGCCAUCAUUUUGAGUAAUUGAAAAGCUAUUAAAAAAAACCUUAACUAUAAAAUCAGAUAGAGUCAUCAACCUCCAGGGAAUUUGGUAUAGUGUUUGGAUGAUGAUGGUGAUAAGAUUUUAUUUAUUUUUGAUACACUAUUAUUAUAGCACAAAUAUGCAGAAAAAGUUUUAAAGAAAAUCAGAAUAACUAGAACAUGCUUUAAUUCCUAUUUAUUGGACGCUAAUGUUGCUGACAAUACUCCCUUUGAGGAUGAACUUUGUAGAAAGACAGUGAUACCAUCACACUGUCAGAACUCUCUGUAGAAGUGAUAAUUCUAAGAGGAAAAUGAUCUGCAUCGGGAAGGAGUCUUGUCACAUUAUUGCCAGUGUUAUUGUCCUCAACUAAAAGUAAACUUAGUAAUAAUGGCUUCUACG
rnacentral:lncRNA from 1 species